rnacentral:lncRNA from 1 species
GCAGACCUGAACAUGCAAGUCUAAGGAUCUGGCCCCGCCCCCUGCUUCCUUUACCACACUCGACAAUAUCCACGAACUGUUUCAUUUUUGAUUAGAUGGGGUGAUCUUAAUCAUCUUCAGACCUGGAACUUCAGUCUCUCUGACAUCCUGUGUCUGGGGCAAGAUAGAACUCAUCCAACAAAAGAGUAGAAGAAGAUCCAGCCCUAUUUGCCAGUGUCUCCCAUCACAUGCCUUAUGAAGGGG